rnacentral:misc_RNA from 1 species
AAAUUAAUGCCAUAGAAUAUAGGCAAGACAAAGUUAUGAAAGAAGCACUCUAUUGGCAAAGAAUGUGAUCUUGAUGUAAGUGAUUUAUAUUGUAUUUCUGGAUGUUCCGCUCCAACUUUUAUUUAUCUUGAAGAUAGCAGCAAUAUCUUCAGUGAUCUUUUAUUCAUCUACAACAGCUCUGGUUUUGAGCAACUAUGAGGAACAAAAUUGAGCAUCACCGGCUUCCAAGUGUAGCAGGCGGGAGUGGUUGAACAGCAGCAAGAGGAUUCACUUGAUAAGAGAAUGCAAGUUGCCAGAAGUCAACCAAAGCUUUCUUCGUAGAUGAAGCUUGUCUCUUAAGAACACUCCAUAAAGAGGCUUGUUUUCUCCGCACGAUAUAGUAAAAUAGUGCCG